ACAUAGCAUAAUAGAAUAAAAACUCAUAUCCAACAUGUAACAUAGUGAAUAAAUUUACUAGCAAUGCAAUUUUUGGCGUACUAUAUGAUCAAACCCAAGAAUACAACGCACAAAAAUAGCCUAAUCCCAAUCGUUCAGCGGGGUGGUAAUGUUUAACUUAACAAUACCCAAUUAGAAUAGCGGGCGGGGCGUUAAUCCUAUAGCGCUAUAAUUGUUAAGGCUCUUAUGGUGGGCUAGCAAAGUUAAUGAGCAUAUAACGUUCCAAAUCGUUCAUAGAGCAUACAAGCAUAGCAAAUAUUCAUAAUAGUUUCAUGUCACGUUCAUAGAUAGAGUACGUUUUGU
rnacentral:lncRNA from 1 species